CACGCACGCCCCACACAGGACGUUUACCACGCCCUGCACCUCCGCCCAACGAACAAAGUACGACCGGGGCCUCCGCCGCUCCACGCCCCAUCCUCCUCCGCCGCCGUCGCCUCCCCGCCCAUCCUCGCCACCGUUCCACGCCCCAAUCCUCCUCCUCCUCCGCCGCCGCCUCCCCGCCUAUCCUCGUCGCCGUUCCAUGCCCCCAUCCGCCGCCGCCGCCUCUGCCGCCUCCCCGCCCCCCUGUUUCACCGCCUCUCCCGCCUCCCCGCCCAUCCUCCACCGCUCCACGCCCUCAUCCUCUGCCGCUGCUGGUGGCGAGCUCUGUGCCUCCAACCGUUGGCGACGAACCAGGCCUCCAUUCAUGGUAUGUAUCAUGGGCACCAACAGAUCCACAUCUUUGUUACGCGAUGAACGCAACCUGUACGUGCAUCUCUUUCUUUCUAUGAUCUUCUAUCUGUCUCAUAAGAGAGCUGCACUUCUCAAGUCCGAAUGACGUUUCCUUGUGGUUGGACGCGUAGAUAGUGGAUCUGAUUCCGUGAUGGAGGAGCAUAAUGGUAUUCGGAUUUCUGUUCCUCCUGAUGGAUGAAGUCGGUAGACGGAAGAUGCUUCAGUUUUGCAAUCUAAUAAAAUGUUCCGGUUCAUCGUUGGUGGGAAACUAAAAACACGCAUGCAUCAGACUGUAAGUUCUGUAGGUAAUUGAUUCUUCAUGUAAUUUUAUUGAGAACGGAGGAACCAUAACAUGGUUCUAAACUGGUGUAGAUAUGGUAUUUGUUGCGUCAUAUUAGGAUAACUUCAUGAUGGUAUGCCCAGAAAGAAUUUAUCUUAAAAUCAUGCAUCAUUCCUUCAUUCGUUAUUGAUCAUCUUUAGCAAACCAUUUAUUAUGUUUUUGAAACAGGGAAAAAAUAUAACAAAAUUUUAACAGAAAAGUGGAUCUUGUACUGACAGAUGAAAGGCUUGUUUCACCUGACGAAGCAUGCCCUUACAUGAGCGAAGAUGAUUAUUUUGGUUUUUUGCAAACCAUGCAAGAUUUUUGCAGCGGCAGGACUAUGACCCCUCGAGAUAUUUACAAAAAUGUGCCUAUUAGUUCUUCUGGAACUGUGUGCUAAGUAAUUCUUUAGUGAUUUCUCUGCGAAAGAUUUGAAAUAAUGGGGUGUCUGAUUCAUAAUUCCUUCUUCGUAGGUGAAGAGAUGUAUGAGUAACUGUCAAGUUGUUGGAAUAGUUUGUGGAUAAUUAUGUCCCUACAGACCUAAAGGCCUUUCUAAGGGUUAAAGCAUAUGAUAAUCACAACUUGGAUGGUAUCCAUAUGAAAGAAGGUGCGCAAAAGUUUUCUACCCUCCUGCCUUGAAUACAAACAGUUCCCAGGUUCCUUGUUUCAGCAUUCACCUAUGGUUACCAGAUGCAAAUAUCCAUCCUUUUUCUAUGAAUUACUCCCAAAAAUGCAAUUUGCAGUCCACAACUUGAGCUAUUAUUUGUUUAUUUUUUACUGCUUGCUUCCUAGCUAUUGAUCAGUACAUGAAUAUCGUCAUGCUAUCAUUCAACAGCCGGCUCAGUAACAUCAUAUAUGUAUUCUUUUCUGAUCAAGUAACUUCACAUAUGUACUCAUCUCUGAUAGAUAACAUGAUUCUGCGGCCGCUUGAAGAUAAACAAGCAUUUAACUCUUUAUUCAGUUAAUAAACUAUUGUUUGUUUGUUUUUUCUUGCGCAAAGCUCUACACAGGAGGUGCAUUGAAAAACUAUAUGAUGAUGAUCCUGAGCGUGAUGAUCUGUUGGUGAGUCAGAAUAAUUCUUACAGAUCGAAGUUAGCACCUAUCAUAUGUGGGUUUAAACAAAUAUGAAAUUAUGAGAAUAGACAAAAACGCUCAUUGUUAAAAUUAUUUGUGUAUUUUUAAGUAAUAUGAUUGGUGUCACGGAUAUAAAUUGACUUCUUAGGAUGAGUUGAAUUGUCGAAUUUCACUCCAGGCUUGGGCUUGACAAUGAUAUUUACUUUUAUGGGCUUUGUAAUGUGCUUUCAUUGAAUUAAUUAUGUCAGUAGGGAUGCACAAUGUGUGUACCUUUCAGGUUUAGCUCAACUCGCUGUUAUUGGGGUAGUACAAUGAGUCCUCCGAGCUUGCUAAAUGUUUUUUUAUAUAAGUACUGCAUGCCUGAUUAUUCUUAUUGCUUAUUACUUCAGAUUUUGUCUGCUAAUUGUCUCAGCAAAAAAUAUAUUAGGUGUUCCCUUUAUAUUUCAUUUUUGUAGCCUCUGUUGUAAUCUGCACCCCUACAAGAAUGAAAUUAGUUCAUGUUCUUACAUACUUAUUUAAAUGAGGGGGUUAUUAUGCAUCCAACUUGUGCUUACCAUGGGUGAGUCAGAAUUCAGGAGGCCUAAUCUACUUAUCCUGCAAAGUCGAGUCAAUGAAUCCCGGGAGAUGCCACUGCUGCUGGUUGGAACGCGGAUGAUGGCGUGUGUGCUUGUUGCCGCUGCUUGCAUGUGGAUGAGUAGUAUAGUGCACAGCUGCAUCAGCUUGGGACAUACUCCCUCCGUCCCAAAAUAGAUGACCCAACUUUAUACUAAAGUUAGUACAAAGUUGAAUCAUCUAUUUUGGAAUGGAGGGAGUAUGUGCUUUGAUACAUUACUUUUUUCACUAUGGGAUUUAAUAUGUUUGAGGCUACUAUAGUAUAUGUGAAAUAUACACUUAUUUUUACUUCUUUUCUUGCCAUCUAAUAUGUUUGGCAUUUCUUCUUUCAGAUUUACAUCUCCUCUUUGUGCAGGAGGUACAAGGUCUCACCACAUGUUGAAGGCUGCUUUCAGUAAUUCUAUUUUCAUUUUCAUUUUGAUUUUUGUGAGUGUAUUUUUCUGCCUUACAAGGACCUGAGGUGAUUCGUGGGUUGUAGGGGGCAUGGGGAGCUUCACGAUUAUGUAUUUUUUCUAUAUAAUUAAUAUAUCAUUGUUGUGGUUACUUUUAUUGUUUGAUUACACAAAGUCAUGGUAACACUAUAUCUAUAGAUUGUGAUACAUGGAGAUGCAUUUUGCAAGGUUAA